rnacentral:rRNA from 1 species
GCACAAGCAGCGGAGCGUGUGGUUUAAUUCGUUGCUACACGAAGAACCUUACCUGGGUUUGACAUAUAGGUUGUAGGGAACUGAAAAGGGACCGACCCUUCGGGGAGCCUAUACAGGUGUUGCAUGGCUGUCGUCAGCUCGUGUCGUGAGAUGUUCGGUUAAGUCCGCUAACGAGCGCAACCCUCGUCGUAUGUUUAUAUGUGUCAUACGAGACUGCCGGUAAAAAGCCGGAGGAAGGUGAGGAUGAUGUCAAGUCAGCAUGACCUUUAUAUCCAGGGCUACACACACGCUACAAUGGUCUGUACAAUGGGUAGCCAAGCCGCGAGGCGGAGCCAAUCCUGAAAGCAGGCCUCAGUUCAGAUUGCAGUCUGCAACUCGACUGCAUGAAGCCGGAGUUGCUAGUAACCGCAGGUCAGCAAUACUGCGGUGAAUACGUUCCCGGGUCUU